rnacentral:rRNA from 1 species
GCUUGCUAUCAGGCGUCGAGCGGCGGACGGGUGAGUAAUACUUAGGAAUCUACCUAGUAGUGGGGGAUAGCACGGGGAAACUCGUAUUAAUACCGCAUACGACCUACGGGAGAAAGGGGGCAGUUUACUGCUCUCGCUAUUAGAUGAGCCUAAGUCGGAUUAGCUAGAUGGUGGGGUAAAGGCCUACCAUGGCGACGAUCUGUAGCUGGUCUGAGAGGAUGAUCAGCCACACCGGGACUGAGACACGGCCCGGACUCCUACGGGAGGCAGCAGUGGGGAAUAUUGGACAAUGGGGGAAACCCUGAUCCAGCCAUGCCGCGUGUGUGAAGAAGGCCUUUUGGUUGUAAAGCACUUUAAGCAGUGAAGAAGACUCCGUGGUUAAUACCCACGGACGAUGACAUUAGCUGCAGAAUAAGCACCGGCUAACUCUGUGCCAGCAGCCGCGGUAAUACAGAGGGUGCAAGCGUUAAUCGGAAUUACUGGGCGUAAAGGGAGCGUAGGUGGCUCGAUAAGUCAGAUGUGAAAUCCCCGGGCUCAACCUGGGAACUGCAUCUGAUACUGUUGAGCUAGAGUAUGUGAGAGGAAGGUAGAAUUCCAGGUGUAGCGGUGAAAUGCGUAGAGAUCUGGAGGAAUACCGAUGGCGAAGGCAGCCUUCUGGCAUAAUACUGACACUGAGGCUCGAAAGCGUGGGUAGCAAACAGGAUUAGAUACCCUGGUAGUCCACGCCGUAAACGAUGUCUACUAGUCGUUGGGUCCCUUGAGGACUUAGUGACGCAGCUAACGCAAUAAGUAGACCGCCUGGGGAGUACGGCCGCAAGGUUAAAACUCA